AUUGAACGCUGGCGGCCGGCCUAACACAUGCAAGUCGAGCGAGUGGCGCACGGGUGAGUAAUGUAUGGGGAUCUGCCCGAUAGAGGGGGUUAACUACUGGAAACGGUGGCUAAUCCCGCAUACCAUCGGAUGAACCCUGAUUGGAUUAGCUAGUAGGUGGGGUAAAGGCUCACCUAGGCGUCGAUCCCUAGCUGAGCUGAGAGGAUGAUCAGCCACACUGGGAAUGAGACACGGGCCAGACUCCUACGGGAGGCAGCAAUAGGGAAUAUUGCGCAAUGGGCGAAAGCCUGAUGCAGCCAUGCCGCGGGUAUUAAGGAGGCCUUAGGGUUGUAAAAUUCUUUCAGCGGGGAGGCGGUACCCGCAGAAAAAGCAACGGCUAACUCCGUGCCAGGCGCCGCGGUAAUAC
rnacentral:rRNA from 1 species